rnacentral:rRNA from 1 species
UGGCUCAGAUUGAACGCUGGCGGCAGGCCUAACACAUGCAAGUCGAGCGGUAGCACAAGGAGCUUGCUCCUGGGUGACGAGCGGCGGACGGGUGAGUAAUGUCUGGGAAACUGCCCGAUGGAGGGGGAUAACUACUGGAAACGGUAGCUAAUACCGCAUAACGUCUUCGGACCAAAGUGGGGGACCUUCGGGCCUCACACCAUCGGAUGUGCCCAGAUGGGAUUAGCUAGUAGGUGAGGUAAUGGCUCACCUAGGCGACGAUCCCUAGCUGGUCUGAGAGGAUGACCAGCCACACUGGAACUGAGACACGGUCCAGACUCCUACGGGAGGCAGCAGUGGGGAAUAUUGCACAAUGGGCGCAAGCCUGAUGCAGCCAUGCCGCGUGUGUGAAGAAGGCCUUCGGGUUGUAAAGCACUUUCAGCGAGGAGGAAGGGUUCGGUGUUAAUAGCACCGUUCAUUGACGUUACUCGCAGAAGA